rnacentral:rRNA from 1 species
UACGUAGGGACCGAGCGUUGUCCGGAAUCAUUGGGCGUAAAGAGCGUGUAGGCGGCCACUUAAGUCCUGCGUGAAAUCUUGCGGCUCAACCGCAAGCGGUCGUGGGAAACUGGGUAGCUAGAGUCCGGAAGAGGAGAGUGGAAUUCCUGGUGUAGCGGUGAAAUGCGCAGAUAUCAGGAAGAACACCCGUGGCGAAGGCGGCUCUCUGGUACGUGACUGACGCUGAGACGCGAAAGCGUGGGGAGCGAACAGG